rnacentral:rRNA from 1 species
UACGAAGGGGGCUAGCGUUGCUCGGAAUUACUGGGCGUAAAGGGCGCGUAGGCGGCACUGUUAGUCAGGCGUGAAAGUCCUGGGCUCAACCUGGGAACUGCGCUUGAUACGGCAGAGCUAGAGUACGAAAGAGGAUCGCGGAAUUCCCGGUGUAGAAGGUGAAAUUCGUAGAUAGUCGGGAGGAACACCGGUGGCGAAGGCGGCGAGUCUGGGUCGAUACUGACGCUGAGGUGCGAAAGCGUGGGGAGCAAACAGG